GCCCGGGUAGCUCAGUUGGUAGAGCAGCGGACUGAAAAUCCGCGUGUCGGUGGUUCGAAUCCGCCCCCGGGCACCA
rnacentral:tRNA from 10 species